UACGUAGGAGGCAAACGUUGUCCGGAUUUACUGGGUGUAAAGGGUGCUCAGGCGGUCUUGAUAGUCAGGGGUGAAAUCUUCCGGCUUAACCGGAAAAUUGCCUUUGAUACUACAAGGCUUGAGUGCAGAAGAGGCGGAUGGAAUUUCUGGUGUAGCAGUGAAAUGCGUAGAUAUCAGAAAGAACACCAGUGGCGAAGGCGGUCCGCUGGUCUGUCACUGACGCUAAAGCACGAAAGCGUGGGGAGCAAAC
rnacentral:rRNA from 1 species